UACGAAGGGGGGCUAGCGUUGUUCGGAAUUACUGGGCGUAAAGGGCGCGUAGGCGGCGUGUCAAGUCAGGCGUGAAAGCCCCGGGCUCAACCUGGGAACUGCGUCUGAUACUGGAUGGCUUGAAUUCGGGAGAGGGAUGCAGAAUUCCAGGUGAUAGCGGUGAAAUGCGUAGAUAUCUGGAGGAAUACCGGUGGCGAAGGCGGCAUCCUGGACCGACAUUGACGCUGAUGAGCGAAAGCUAGGGGAGCAAACGGG
rnacentral:rRNA from 1 species